rnacentral:rRNA from 1 species
AGUCGAGCGGAAGAAGGGAGCUUGCUCCCGGAUGUUAGCGGCGGACGGGUGAGUAACACGUGGGUAACCUGCCUGUAAGACUGGGAUAACUCCGGGAAACCGGAGCUAAUACCGGAUAGUUCCUUGAACCGCAUGGUUCAAGGAUGAAAGACGGUUUCGGCUGUCACUUACAGAUGGACCCGCGGCGCAUUAGCUAGUUGGUGGGGUAAUGGCUCACCAAGGCAACGAUGCGUAGCCGACCUGAGAGGGUGAUCGGCCACACUGGGACUGAGACACGGCCCAGACUCCUACGGGAGGCAGCAGUAGGGAAUCUUCCGCAAUGGACGAAAGUCUGACGGAGCAACGCCGCGUGAGUGAUGAAGGUUUUCGGAUCGUAAAGCUCUGUUGUUAGGGAAGAACAAGUGCGAGAGUAACUGCUCGCACCUUGACGGUACCUAACCAGAAAGCCACGGCUAACUACGUGCCAGCAGCCGCGGUAAUACGUAGGUGGCAAGCGUUGUCCGGAAUUAUUGGGCGUAAAGGGCUCGCAGGCGGUUUCUUAAGUCUGAUGUGAAAGCCCCCGGCUCAACCGGGGAGGGUCAUUGGAAACUGGGAAACUUGAGUGCAGAAGAGGAGAGUGGAAUUCCACGUGUAGCGGUGAAAUGCGUAGAGAUGUGGAGGAACACCAGUGGCGAACGCGACUCUCUGGUCUGUAACUGACGCUGAGGAGCGAAAGCGUGGGGAGCGAACAGGAUUAGAUACCCUGGUAGUCCACGCCGUAAACGAUGAGUGCUAAGUGUUAGGGGGUUUCCGCCCCUUAG